AUGAAACUUUACAAACCGACAAACAUUCUUGAACAUAUGGACAAACAGAUGUCUCACCGUCUGUUUGUCCAUAUGUUCAGGAAUGUUUGUCUGUUUGUAAAG